AAUGUAUAACACUUAGCUGAUGAUAUUUCGAGUAGGAAUCUCAUUGAAAUAACCAUGAAAUCAAUAUUUUCUCAACUGAUAAUAACAUU
rnacentral:snoRNA from 13 species